rnacentral:rRNA from 1 species
GACGAACGCUGGCGGCGUGCUUAACACAUGCAAGUCGAACGCUGAAGCUCAGCUUUUGUUGGGUGGAUGAGUGGCGAACGGGUGAGUAACACGUGAGUAACCUGCCCCCUUCUUUGGGAUAACGCCCGGAAACGGGUGCUAAUACUGGAUAUUCACUGGUCUUCGCAUGGGGGUUGGUGGAAAGGGUUUUUCUGGUGGUGGAUGGGCUCGCGGCCUAUCAGCUUGUUGGUGGGGUGAUGGCCUACCAAGGCUUUGACGGGUAGCCGGCCUGAGAGGGUGACCGGUCACAUUGGGACUGAGAUACGGCCCAGACUCCUACGGGGGGCAGCAGUGGGGAAUAUUGCACAAUGGGCGCAAGCCUGAUGCAGCGACGCCGCGUGAGGGAUGGAGGCCUUCGGGUUGUGAACCUCUUUCGCUCAUGGUCAAGCCGCAACAAUGGUUGUGGUGAGGGUAGUGGGUAAAGAAGCGCCGGCUAACUACGUG